rnacentral:lncRNA from 1 species
AGAUCACCAGAGUAACUUACAAGCAACUCACUGUACUUUGAUGUCGGACUGUCUAAAUUUCUGAUUCAAUGAUGGAAGAUUUCUAGGUGCAGUCAAGUACUUGUAAAAUUGGUACUUGAGUCAAGAUGAGAUUGAUCCCUCCAAAUAAGUAGGAGUUAAUACAUCAUUAUAUUUUAAUUUAAUAAAAUCUGAGUCUGAAUAAUCCAUGUGAUGGAUUUGAAAGAUUGAAAUACAGU